rnacentral:snoRNA from 1 species
GGGAAUGAUGAUUUCACAGACUAGAGUCUCUGACGUUGGUCCUGAUGUCAAGCACAAAUUCUGACUC